rnacentral:misc_RNA from 1 species
GCCGAACGCCUCCCUGAGAUGGUCGACAAACACGUCGGGCUUCUCGAGCGCAGCAAAGUGUCCUCCGGCAGUAGAUCUCGCCCGGGUAGAGCGAGAGGGCAAAGUUGGGCAAGUGGUACUUGCUGUCGG